rnacentral:tRNA from 1 species
GGGACUUUAACUCAGUGGCAGAGUGCCUGCCUGGCAAGCAUGAGGUCCUGAGUUCAAUUCCAGGACCA